AACUUCACCUUAAUCAACAGUCUCAGCUGCUGCUUAUACAGCUGUCAGUUCCCAGAUCUCACAAGGACCUGAAGGUGAAGGUGAGACAAAGAAUAAAGUA